AUUUCUUACUUUUUUGGAAGGGUGUUGUCAAAUAGCCCAUGUCAGGAAAAAACUUUGAAGAGUUUCCUGUUUAACAUAUGGAAUAUGGCCAACCCAUAGCACGCAAAUCAGAUGUUAUGCUUCCAAUCAGCUGCAGAUACUGACUAAACUUCUCAGUUUCUUUUCCUCAUCCAUAGGUAAUUGGUAUGCAUCUUCUAAACUCUAAGGGACCCCAUGAGACUUGCAACCUGUGGAGCAAUGGGCAGUGGCAACUCACCACAGGCUAGUCCCCUGGACCUAUCCCCAAGGCCCCCUUUUCUCUGACUUUCCAGAGAGCUAAGGCAGCCCAGCCUAGGCUCUCCUGUUGCUUCUUAUAUAC